rnacentral:lncRNA from 1 species
AUGGAACUCGCCCAAAGACUCCAGUUACCUCAUGUUUUCACGACAAUCUACAUGCUGCAUUUGGGUAAAGCUACUACUGUCCAGCCCAUCAGUAGUAGCACCGACCUCUAUGCACUUCUAUCCUUCAAAUCUCUUGCCACUGAGGACCCAUCGGGAGCCAUGUCUUCUUGGAGCUCCAAUGAGACCAUGUUUGGUUUCUGCCAUUGGAAGGGUGUAACAUGCAGCAGCCAUGCCCACCCUGGCCGCGUCACUGCCUUGCGCAUGCGAGAUCUUGGCCUUGUCGGUGCCAUCUCUCCGCAGCUCAGCAACCUCACCUAUCUCCAAGCCCUUGAUCUUUCAAACAACAGGUUACAAGGUGAGAUCCCCCAUGACCAUGGCAGCUGCGUCGCACUGCGUGCCAUCAACUUGAGUGUCAACUCCCUGUCUGGCCAGAUCCCAUGGUCCAUCGGCAACCUGCCAAAGCUCGCUGUGCUGAACGUCCGUAACAACAAAAUCUCAGGUAAUGUCCCAGCUUCAUUGGGCAACUUGACAGCACUGACUAUGCUUAGCAUCGCUGAUAACUAUGUCAAUGGGCGAAUUCCUCCUUGGAUUGGCAAUAUGACUAAUUUGACAGAUUUAAACGUUGCUGGUAAUGUCUUCCAUGGAUAUGUCCCAUCAAAUAUAGCUGGGCUAAUAAACCUUUUAGCUUUGAGCUUGUUAGGAAAUAAGCUACAAGGUGUGUUUCCCCCAGAGCUGUUUAAUAUUACAUCCCUUGAAAUUAUGUACAUCGGCCUGAACAUGCUAUCAGGCUUUUUGCCGAUGGAUAUUGGCUCCAAGUUGACUAACUUAGUUUUCUUGAGCACAAUCUAUAACCAAUUUGAAGGCCCGAUACCAGACUCUUUGUCAAAUAUUUCCAAACUAGAAUAUCUUCAACUCCAUGGAAAUAAAUUUCAAGGACGAAUACCACCGAACAUCUGGAGCUCCGGCACAAUCACAAGAUUAAACCUAGGUAACAAUAUUCUUGAAGCUAAGACACCAAAUGACAGGGAUUUCCUCACAUCCUUGACCAACUGUAGUGAACUAGUGACACUAGAUCUUCAAUUGAAUAGGCUUUCUGGAUUUAUCCCGAAUACACUUGUCAACCUCUCGCAAGAGCUCAUAUGGAUUGGACUUGGAGGAAACCAAAUAUUUGGGACCAUACCUGCAGGGAUAGGGAGGUUUCGCAAAUUAACUGUACUAGAGUUGGCAGGUAACAUUUUCACAUGCAACAUACCUUUAGAUAUUGGUCAGCUAUCUAGUCUCCACCAGCUGUUGUUGUAUGGAAACAAUUUGAGUGGGGAGAUUCCACCAUCGGUUGGCAACCUUACACAACUAAAUGAGCUCCUGUUGUUCCAAAACAACCUAGACAACAAAAUUCCAGAAACCCUUGGCAAUCUAAGUUCACUAAAUUCUAUGGACCUUCCCUAUAACAUGUUGAGUGGGAAGAUUCCUGAAGUACUCAUGAGGAUGCCAUCACUAACUAAACAACUCAAUCUCUCUAACAAUUUGUUGGGUGGUCCCAUUUCCCCACAGAUUCAGGAGUUGGUCAAUCUUGGUGCAAUUGAUCUCUCAGGCAAUAAGCUAUCCGGUCAAAUUCCAUACACCCUAGGUAGUUGUGUUGAGUUGGAAUUCUUAUUCUUGCAAGCGAAUCUAUUGCAAGGGAAAAUUCCUUCUGAACUCAGUACACUUAGAGGACUAGAAGACUUGGAUCUAUCAAACAACAACUUAUCAGGACCCAUCCCUGAUUUUCUUGGGAAUUUCCAAGGUCUCAAGCAUUUAAACCUUUCCUUGAACAACCUCUCUGGUCUUGUGCCAAAUAAAGGAAUUUUCUGUAAUCCCACUGCUGUAUCACUCUCGAAAUGCCCAUCAUCUCUUGCUCAUAAUAGUCAUUCAAAGCACCAAGUGCAGCUUAUAUUGAUCAUUUGUGUUGUUGGAGGAUUUACCAUAUUUGCAUGUCUAGUGACUUUCUAUUUCAUUAAGGACCAACGAACAAUCCCAAAAGAUAUUGAUCAUGAAGAGCAUAUCACAUCGCUUCUCAUAAAGAAAUAUCCUAGGAUAUCAUAUGUUGAGUUAUACGCUGCAACAGAUUCCUUGUCCUCGGAAAACUUAAUCGGCCGUGGAAGUUUCGGAUAUGUAUAUAAAGGGAAUUUAACUUCUGGUGUGAAUUCAGCUACGGUGGCCAUGAAAGUACUUGAUCUUCGCCAAAAGGGACAAACACAGGGCUUUUUUGCUGAGUGCGAUGCCUUGAGGAGGAUACAACAUCGGAAACUUGUUAAGGUUGUCACGAUAAUGAGUGUUGAUGCAUCAAGGCAAAGUUUGGGCGAAAGCAUUUCGAAUGGAGUUAGAGGCUCAAUUGGGUACCUUGCACCAGAGUAUGGGAUGGGAGCCGAGAUAUCAGCUAGAGGUGGUGUAUACAGCUACGGAGUGUUGGUUCUCCAAAUGCUGACCGGGAAAGAACCAACUGACGCAAUAUUCGAUGGGACUACAAGUCUUCCAAAAUACGUCGAGAUGACCUAUCCGGACAAGCUAUCUCCAAUAGUCGACGCAGCUAUUAUUGCUAACAGUGGCGGCGGCCAAGAGACGAUAAAUAUGUUCAUUGUGCCAGUUGCAAAAAUUGCUCUAGCAUGCUGCAGAGAUAACGCUAGCCAGCGAAUGAACUUCGGUGAGAUAGUGAAAGAACUGGUCCCGUUGAACAAGUUGUGUCAAGAUUAUUUCCUCACUCAGGGGGCAAGUAGUGGCAACACUAGUGACAUCGGUAUCACGCUGUAACCAUACUAGA